AAACAAAUCAGAUCGUCAAGUAACAUGCCAAACUCCAGCAGCUCGUCAUCUGAGGAGAUGCUACCAGACCUGCUGAGCUUGUUUAAACACUUACCUCGAAGCCAGCGGUCUUUUCUUCAGCAGAGAGCGUCGGGAGCUGGGCGGAAGUGAAGUUGGAGCCGAGAGGCAGUUGGGAACGAGCACCCUGCCUUUAAGGGGAGGACAGUGUGUGACCGCACUCGGUGUGAUCGUCUCGAAUGCCAGAGUCUGGAAGGAAAGAUGGACAGAUCCAGCCUCAUAUAGAUGCAUUGUGGGAAAACCUGGGGAGAUGCAAAACCUGUGGGUGUCACAGAAAGAGCUAUUAGGAAGAAGAUCUGGAUGUGUGGGGCCUCACUAACAUGUACACGCAGUGGCUGGAAACCAUUUCCUGAAGAGCGCUCGCUGUCUCAUUUAUUGUGAUGGAAAUCCAAACUAUGGAAUGUGGAAAUAAAUGACUGAUCACACUCAAACUGGGCCUGGUCAGCUCUGGAGUGU